GUGAGCUGGGGAGCAGCUUUCGGGCGCAAGUCUGAGGAAACUCCAUCCACCGUGCAGGACUGCGAUGACGUGAGUCAUAGGGGGAGACCUCUGGCAACGGACAGAAACGAUACCUCCCGCGGCAUGCGAUGAUUCCUUGGAGGAUGAGGUCGCCGCGGGCCUGGGUGAGACGACUGACCCGCAGGGUGCAAGGGCGAAUAGGCGUCUAUACCCGCCUGCAAGGGGACGCGGGUAGCCUGCAUAGCUAAAUGCUGCAUAAUACAGGAGAUGGGUUACACCCAGCACAC
rnacentral:RNase_P_RNA from 1 species